CUACAUCAAGAGGAGCGACAGGUCUUGCUCUUCCCACACUGGUUAGAGUUUGGAGAUUCCCAAAGUGCAGAGCAGCAAGAGGAAGAGUUGGCAUGAACAGCUCUUAGCAAGUAAGAGAGGAACAUAGAAAACCCAACAGGAAAUCUGUAGCCAGCAUCCUGCAGCUUCAGCAUGGACACUUAGGAGAUGCUUCCCUUCCCUCAUCCCUAAAAGCAAAGGUAAUCUUAGUUUAUCUUGCGUCUCAACUAACCUGUCAUAGAAGGCAAUAUUUCAAAAAUACCAAUUUUAUUUGAAAACCAUCAAGUCUUCCAAUGAAUUAUGUGGGCAGAGGGGACA